AUAAACAAAUAAAUAAUCUUGCACGGCGUCACAAGAUGAUAAGAUGGGUCUGUAUAAAUGUUACUGUGAUGUGCACAUCUCGUCAGUUUGACGCCCAGCUCAAGCAGUGAGGUCAGUCUGAGUACCUAUUGCAGUGUGUAAAUACCGAAGCAAUGAAGUUCAUUGUAUGUGUCUUCCUAUUCUUGGCGAUCUUGGAGGGAUUCCAAUGUGCUCCACUUUGCCAAUUUUGGCAUUGUUUUUAUGAAUAUUCCAAUUCACAAACAACAACUUAUCAAAAUGUUUUCACGAAUAAUGGUAACCACAAUGUCAUGAUAGUUAAUGGGGGUGGCAAAGGUCUCUUUGGACAAUUAAUGCUAUUAUAAUAAGAUAUGUGUUUUUAUCAUAACUAUCGUGAGAUAUACUAAAUUAACUAAAAAUCUUUUACUCACGUUACUCACGUGAAAAUACUGAGAAAAGCUCUACUAGUUUCAAACCACAGAGGGGUUCUUCCUCGUGAGCGGCGUGCGCGGUAGCGGCGAUGUUUCUGUGUUUCUCAUUAUUUUCACGUGAGUAACCCGUGAUUUUUUUAGUUUAAUAAGAUGUAUGGAUGUUGUCUGAGAAUCACGACGGGUUAUACUUAAACCGAGGACCAAAUCAUGGCAUUGUUACUUUAGCAGAACAAAAAUGUUAAUCGUGAUGGACAGCUACUUGUGGGCGGCGUUUCGUUCACCAUUCCUGCCUGUUGAAAUAUCGUACCCAAAUAUUCUCACACAAAAAUAGUCUCUAAUCAUCGGAAAUAAGGUCUAUAAUGUAGUUAGUGGAGAGCUGCCACCGGUGACCGCUUGGGGAUAAAAGGGCAGCUGCUGGACUAUAUAUAUAUAUAUAUAUACCCGCAGCUACAAUACAACGUAAUUAUCAUUAGACUCAAUAUUGUCAGUCUCCAAAUUAUAGUAAUAAAAUUUAAUUCAACAUUUAAAUCCUGAUUUUUAUUUCGCACAGACACAUAGUCAUUAACACUGCGUCUUCUCGAAAACAUAGGCAGCUGUGUAUCAGCCAUUGUCAGCAAAUGAUGAAGUGUAAUUGUUAAGGGAACUCUUCAACGGUAUACAGUACAUAUCUUGGUUGUCUGCUUGAUUUAUUUGUAUUGAUGAGAAUUUUGUAUUUAUGUGGAUUAUAUGUGGCAUAACGG